rnacentral:tRNA from 1 species
CCGACCUUAGCUCAGUUGGUAGAGCGGAGGACUGUAGAUUGUGCAGAAUAAUCCUUAGGUCGCUGGUUCGAAUCCGGCAGGUCGGA